rnacentral:rRNA from 1 species
GGAGUUAGCCGAUGCUUAUUCGUAUGGUACUCUCAUCAGUGUACUCGUACACCUUAUUGCUCCCAUACAAAAGAAGUUUACAAUCCAUAGGACUUUAUCCUUCACGCGGCAUGGCUGGAUCAGAUUUCCAUCCAUUGUCCAAUAUUCCCCACUGCUGCCUCCCGUAGGAGUCUGGACCGUGUCUCAGUUCCAGUGUGGCCGAUCAGCCUCUCAGCUCGGCUACCCAUCGCGGACUUGGUGGGCCGUUACCCCGCCAACUAUCUAAUGGGACGCGAACCCCUCCUUCUGCGGAUUGCUCCUUUGACCUCAUCCCGAUGCCGGGUCGUGGUCUUAUGCGGUAUUAGCACUUGUUUCCAGGUGUUAUCCCCCUCAAAAGGUCAGGUUGUUCACGCGUUACUCACCCGUUCGCCACUAAGCAUCAACCGAAAUCAAUGCUCCGUUCGACUUGCAUGUGUUAGGCACGCCGCCAGCGUUCGUCCUGAGCCAGGAUCAAACUCUGA